GGGACUGUGGCUUAGUGGUAGAGUGCUUGCCUAGCAUGCAUGAAGCCCUGGGUUCAAUUCCUCAGCACCA
rfam:Dipodomys ordii contig_29465, whole genome shotgun sequence.